rnacentral:rRNA from 1 species
AUGUUUGACGGAGUUGAGUGGAUGCUUCGAGGAGUCAGGCAUGUGCCAGGGCUAAACAGGAAUCUAAUUUCGCUUGGUGUUCUUCAUGAUGGUAGUAUGGUAUUCCGUUGUGAUCGGGAUAGGAAGACCAUGAGAAUCAUGGAAGAUGACGUGACCAUGAUGAUUGGAGAGACAACGGCUUCACAUCUUUACAAGUUGCAAGAGAGCACUAUUGCAGGUGAGUCACGGAGACUGGAGUUGCGGGAGUAG